GGCCCAGAAAACUGCGUUUUCCCCUCACUCUUGCUCACCGACCGAAAAAGACUGUGUCCCUAACUCACGAUUUUUCUCCGUCAGUAGUCCCGUGAAUUACGGUCCUUCCCCUGCCCUACGUGUCACGUGUUGAGAAGUUUGGGGCUCAAUCAUUGAAACGUUUACUAAGCACCUACUGUUCGCAGCAAACUGUUAAGACACCAUGCUCCACACUAGAGAUAACCAUGAGUAAGACAUGACGUUGCACUGGAGGAGCCCCUGGACCAAAGAUGACCCCAGAGACCUACCACCGCCUAGUUUAGGGCUUAUAAAUGUAGAGAAGAGUUUUGUUAAUUCAGUCAACAUUUUCCGAGCCGCUGUACCUGCUAAAGUGCCGAGGACAGAGACUCCUCAAGAACCAGGGUUCAUCAGCUCAAAGCCACCUGGGGUCUUUGCCCUCCCCUCUUCUCUCUCUUCAAACAGGGGGUUUGAAGCCUUGUCAACAGGAAGUGAAUUCCUCCGUAUCACAUACAGUCUUCUGUUGAUUGUCUCCUUGCAAAAAGCAGCGUGUUCUCAGAAGCACCCUGUGAGGCGGGUCUAAACAGAGAACUAGGAAUGGGGUCCCUGGAAGCCCCUUUCCUCAGAGGGGUCACCUUCCUGCACCACGACAGCAAGCCACCCGUGCUCGCCUGAAGCAAAGCCAGU
rnacentral:lncRNA from 1 species